CAGGAUAUGGCUGAGAUAGUUAAGCAUCUCCCUUACACCGAGAAGACAUCCAUGCAAGUUGGAUUAUCCUGA
rnacentral:tRNA from 2 species